GCGGCCAUGCGACAGAAGCAAAGGGAGGCAGUAUCUGAGAGAGAAGAUAUUUUGAUGGUGGCUUUGAAGAUGGAGGAAGAGACAAUGAUUGUAAGGAUUCAUCAUGCAAAGAGCAAAGGGAAGUAUACAGGGCAACAUGAAGAAAGAAAAUGGGCUUUGAAAUUAGAAGACUUGAAGCUGAAUCCUAGAUCCCCAAAUUACCGGCUGAAGAGAUAUUGAUACCCAGAGUAAUUGUGGAAGCUUGUACUGAAAAAUGGUAGAGGCUUCAGCAGCCUGAGUACCUGAAUGGCUGCGUGGAAU